rnacentral:rRNA from 1 species
GAUGAACGCUGGCGGCAGGCCUAACACAUGCAAGUCGAGCGAGUGGCGGACGGGUGAGUAAUGUCUGGGAAACUGCCUGAUGGAGGGGGAUAACUACUGGAAACGGUAGCUAAUACCGCAUACCAUCAGAUGUGCCCAGAUGGGAUUAGCUAGUAGGUGGGGUAACGGCUCACCUAGGCGACGAUCCCUAGCUGGUCUGAGAGGAUGACCAGCCACACUGGAACUGAGACACGGUCAAGCCUCCUACGGGAGGCAGCAGUGGGGAAUAUUUCACAAUGGGCGCAAGCCUGAUGAAGCCAUGCCGCGUGUAUGAAGAAGGCCUGCGGGUUGUAAAGUACUUUCAGCGAGGAGGCGUUACUCGCAGAAGAAGCACCGGCUAACUCCGUGCCAGCAGCCGCGGUAAUAC